rnacentral:tRNA from 1 species
GGUAAGGUGGCUCAGUGGUAGAGCACUUGCCUUGCAUGCAUGAGGCCCUGGGUUCCAUUCCUCAGACCA